CACGUAUUUAGCCGGAGCUUCUUAGUCAGGUACCGUCAUUAUCUUCCCUGCUGAUAGAGCUUUACAUACCGAAAUACUUCAUCACUCACGCGGCGUCGCUGCAUCAGGGUUUCCCCCAUUGUGCAAUAUUCCCCACUGCUGCCUCCCGUAGGAGUCUGGGCCGUGUCUCAGUCCCAAUGUGGCCGGUCACUCUCUCAAGCCGGCUACUGAUCGUUGCUUUGGUAGGCCGUUACCCUGCCAACUGGCUAAUCAGACGCGGGGCCAUCGUAUGCCGAUAAAUCUUUUCACACCAUGCCAUGCAGCAUUGUGUGCUUAUGCGGUAUUAGCAGUCAUUUCUGACUGUUGUCCCCCUGCAUACGGCAGGUUCCCCACGCGUUACUCACCCGUCCGCCACUCAGUCAUAUAAAACGCACCCGAAGGAUUGUUUACAUGCUUCGUCGACUUGCAUGUGUUAAGCACGCCGCCAGCGUUCAUCCG
rnacentral:rRNA from 1 species